GCUGGGUGUGGUGGCGCAUGCCUGUAAUCCCAGCUACUCGGGAGGCUGAGACAGGAGAAUCGCUUGAACCCAGGAGGCAGAGGUUGCAGUGAGCUGAGAUCGCGCCACUGCAUUCCAGCCUGGGUGACAGAGUGAGACUCCAUCUCAA
rnacentral:sRNA from 1 species